CUUGAUUAUAUUUUGGUGCAGAGCUGAACUGCUUUAUCAGAUGGGAAGUUUUGUCUCAUGUUCACUAAAUCCAAGUAAGUUUACCCUAGAAUUAUUAAAAACAGAGAGAAGUUCUAGUUUCAUGUCUUUCACGCUUCUGAACAACAACUUUUUGUGCUAUCUGUUCUCUGAUUUACACCCACCAGACUAAUUUACAAACAACUCCUUGCAGUGUAUUAACGUUUCAUGAUGAGAUGAAGUGGAAAGUGUUCUAUGACACAAAAGCCCUUUACUCAAGGGGUACCGCAGGGUUGAGAAAAGCUUUCCACUCCAAAUGGUGUCAUUAUGUUCUCUAUAAUGGGUGCGAUUGUUUAAUAAUGACAUAUUUGAGCUGAGAUGAUUGAACAUACAUUAUUUGAGUAAUAAAAACUCAAUAGGCUAUGCCUUUUUAAGCAGUUAAUGUAUGCCUAGGGUAAGAUAAGACAGAAAAGCCUCGUUGUCAUCCUCCAUAAAAAGAGCAAAAUCUUAAAGGUGCAGGUUUGAAAGUAUAUUUCUGUAAACGGGAUUUACACAGAAGGCUAUCCUGUGUGCAUAGCUGUUUCCUUUGAAAAGUUCCCUUUGUAGGAGCA
rnacentral:lncRNA from 1 species